AGCCGAUGCUUAGUAUACCAGUGUUCUGCUGCAUCCGGUGCGACCUCAAAGAAUACCUUCGUCUAGCUGGCCGUUGAGCACCUUAGGGACGACGAGGUGCAGUGCCUGGGGUGUAAGCAGUUCAACUACACGAUGAAGUGAGUAAAGGGGUUAAGACGGUUGCGUUGUGCGUGCGCUGCUUGCUUGCUGUCAACUUGUUGGACAACUGUACACGUAUGUGUUUUUUCAAGCCCACUGAUUUCAGCCUCUCCGUCUCCUUCAAGCCGAUGAGAAGUUCAGGGAUAUUCCUGGGAGUGCCUAUUAUGUGGCUCCGGAGGUGCUGAAGCGGAUAUAUGGAGCCGAUAAUUGCAUAUGGAGUGCUGGAGUUAUACUCUACAUUCUGCUGUCUGGCAUUCCUCCUUUUUGGGCAGCAGGGCAGAUCCUCCUGUGAAGCAUAAAUUUCAUUGUAUCCAAGGAGAUAUCAAAUGCUGAAAACAUGGGACUCAAAA